rnacentral:rRNA from 1 species
GACGUAGGGCGCGAGCGUUGUCCGGAUUUAUUGGGCGUAAAGAGCUCGUAGGCGGCUUGUCGCGUCGACUGUGAAAACCCGCGGCUCAACCGCGGGCCUGCAGUCGAUACGGGCAGGCUAGAGUUCGGUAGGGGAGACUGGAAUUCCUGGUGUAGCGGUGAAAUGCGCAGAUAUCAGGAGGAACACCGAUGGCGAAGGCACCGUCGUCCUGG